rnacentral:rRNA from 1 species
UACGAGGGGGGCAAGCGUUGUUCGGAAUUAUUGGGCGUAAAGGGCGCGUAGGCGGUGCGGUAAGUCUGUAGUGAAAUCUCUGGGCUCAACUCAGAGUCUGCUGCAGAAACUGCCGUGCUUGAGUGUGGGAGAGGUGAGUGGAAUUCCCGGUGUAGCGGUGAAAUGCGUAGAUAUCGGGAGGAACGCCUGUGGCGAAGGCGGCCGGCUGGGGGUGCCCUGACGCUGAGGCGCGAAAGCGUGGGGAGCGAACCGG